GGAGCUCAAUACCAUCUUAGUUCUUUUUCUGAAUCUUCUCGGUAAAUAUUAAUUUUCAUCUAGUUAACCGUUAGAUUAACCUGAAACUUUGAUAUAUAGUUUCUAAUAUAUAUUGAUUCAAUUUUAUUGCUUAGAUUAUUGAUUGGAUGUCUCUAUUUAGAUAAAUUAGUCUCACAUUUCUUAGGGAAUUCAACACCAC
rnacentral:lncRNA from 1 species